rnacentral:misc_RNA from 1 species
CCACACUUCCACCAAAGUUUUUGAUUGCUGGUCUCAGUAUAUCGAGAUGACCAUUCACUGCCUCAGCAGUUGUUUCCCUUGCUUCUUCAUCAUAUACUUGGCAAAUGUCUUUAACUGCAUCUCCAAAUUUUUCCUUCAGUACUCUUUCAAUCCCCAUUUUCAUGGUGGUUGUUGAGCUAGGACAGCUACCACAUGCUCCCUGGAGUUUGAGAGAGAUAAUACCGUCUUCGACGGAAACAACGUCGACGUUUCCACCAUCAGCAAUCAAGUAAGGCCGAACAUCCUCGAGAACCAAGUCCACGUUUUGAGCAGUAAGCUCAAAUUUCUGCGCAGAGUAAAGUCCUGGAGAUUGGGAACCAGUGGCUGCACUUGGACUCGUCGCUUUUAUAGCCGUUUUAGACAAGACCACUUUUCGAGAGACUGGUCUGAUUUGUUGUAGAGUUAUGGGCUGUGGAAACCGACGGGUAUUGGGCAGAAUUUCUGGAGAAGACGGUGAGAUCUUGGACAAAGCGGUAGAGGUUAGGGAAGCCAUGAUUGCGGAGAAGAUAAGGCCCGUUUGAGGCUUUGAAUGGUUAACUAUUUUUGAG